AUUGAACGCUGGCGGCAGGCCUAACACAUGCCAGUCGAACGGUAACAGGAAGCAGCUUGCUGCUUCGCUGACGAGUGGCGGACGGGUGAGUAAUGUCUGGGAAGCUGCCUGAUGGAGGGGGAUAACUACUGGAAACGGUAGCUAAUACCGCAUAAUGUCGCAAGACCAAAGAGGGGGACCUUCGGGCCUCUUGCCAUCGGAUGUGCCCAGAUGGGAUUAGCUUGUUGGUGGGGUAACGGCUCAUCAAGGCGACGAUCCCUAGCUGGUCUGAGAGGAUGACCAGCCACACUGGAACUGAGACACGGUCCAGACUCCUACGGGAGGCAGCAGUGGGGAAUAUUGCACAAUGGGCGCAAGCCUGAUGCAGCCAUGCCGCGUGUAUGAAGAAGGCCUUCGGGUUGUAAAGUACUUUCAGCGGGGAGGAAGGGAGUAAAGUUAAUACCUUUGCUCAUUGACGUUACCCGCAGAAGAAGCACCGGCUAACUCCGUG
rnacentral:rRNA from 1 species